GGUUAUAAGAGUUUUUAACCCUGACAGGUAUAUCACCUUCUCUAGCUGGUCGCAUCGAUUGUGGAUGCAAAACCUAGAAUUAGUUAGCAAGUUCAGCUGCCUCAUCAAAUGUCAAGUAUGGCACAGGUUUCGCAUUUGGAUGAAUAUUAGGAUCACAAGUUAAAACACCAUCAACAUCUUUCCAUGCCAAUGGUAGUAGCUGUCAGGUCACUACCACCCCUGCCUAAAGUGGUGAUUGCACCAGUUUUCCAUCCCUACAAAAAACCAGUGACUAUUGGAAUAGCAGGACCAGUAACCCAGUCCCCAUGUAGCCUCUUUGCAAUGGCAGGAUAAGUUGCUUCCAGAAUAUCAGCGUUUGUGAAAUCAUCAGUGGUUAUAAAGCCUAUUUCAAAUGCAUCAUACUGC
rnacentral:sRNA from 1 species